UUCCGGUUGAUCCUGCCAGACCUGACUGCUAUCGGAUUGAUACUAAGCCAUGCGAGUCAUUGUAGCAAUACAAGGCAUACGGCUCAGUAACGCGUAGUCAAUCUACCCUAUGGACGGGAAUAACCUCGGGAAACUGAGGAUAAUGCCAGAUAGAACAUUAUGCCUGGAAUGGUUUAUGUUUCAAAUGAUUUAUCGCCAUAGGAUGGGACUGCGGCCUAUCAGUUUGUUGGUGAGGUAAUGGCCCACCAAGACUAUUACAGGUACGGGCUCUGAGAGGAGUAGCCCGGAGAUGGGUACUGAGACACGGACCCAGGCCCUAUGGGGCGCAGCAGGCGAGAAAACUUUGCAAUGUGCGAAAGCACGACAAGGUUAAUCCGAGUGGUUUCUGCUAAAGAAACCUUUUGUCAGUCCUAGAAACACUGUUGAAUAAGGGGUGGGCAAGUUCUGGUGUCAGCCGCCGCGGUAAAACCAGCACCUCAAGUGGUCAGGAUGAUUAUUGGGCCUAAAGCAUCCGUAGCUUGUUUUGUAAGUUUUCGGUUAAAUCCAUGCGCUUAACGUAUGGGCUGCCGGGAAUACUGCAUAACUAGGAAGUGGGAGAGGUAGACGGUACUCGAUAGGAAGGGGUAAAAUCCUUUGAUCUAUUGAUGACCACCUGUGGCGAAGGCGGUCUACCAGAACACGUUCGACGGUGAGGGAUGAAAGCUGGGGGAGCAAACCGGAUUAGAUACCCGGGUAGUCCCAGCUGUAAACUAUGCAAACUCAGUGAUGCAUUGGCUUGUGGCCAUUGCAGUGCUGCAGGGAAGCCGUUAAGUUUGCCGCCUGGGAAGUACGUACGCAAGUAUGAAACUUAAAGGAAUUGGCGGGGGAGCACCACAAGGGGUGAAGCUGCGGUUCAAUUGGAGUC
rnacentral:rRNA from 1 species